AGUGAACGCUGGCGGUAGGCCUAACACAUGCAAGUCGAACGGCAACACAGUAAGAGCUUGCUCUUACGGGUGGCGAGUGGCGGACGGGUGAGGAAUACAUCGGAAUCUACUUUUUCGUGGGGGAUAACGUAGGGAAACUUACGCUAAUACCGCAUACGACCUACGGGUGAAAGCAGGGGAUCUUCGGACCUUGCGCGAUUGAAUGAGCCGAUGUCGGAUUAGCUAGUUGGCGGGGUAAAGGCCCACCAAGGCGACGAUCCGUAGCUGGUCUGAGAGGAUGAUCAGCCACACUGGAACUGAGACACGGUCCAGACUCCUACGGGAGGCAGCAGUGGGGAAUAUUGGACAAUGGGCGCAAGCCUGAUCCAGCCACACCGCGUGGGUGAAGAAGGCCUUCGGGUUGUAAAGCCCUUUUGUUGGGAAAGAAAAGCAGCAGGUUAAUACCCCGCUGUUCUGACGGUACCCAAAGAAUAAGCACCGGCUAACUUCGUG
rnacentral:rRNA from 1 species